ACGUGCAAUUCACCCAGUUAUCCCAUCCCGACCUCACGCUAGGGUUAGCGCGGGCGCCAUCCCCAACCCGCCCUUGGCUCCUCGGCCGCCGCUCGCCUUCCUCCGAUAGCACCUCGCCGCUGUGUUUGCCUCCUCCCGCCGCUGGUCCGCCUCCACCAUUUCAAUUCCUCCCAGCACCACGCCAGCGCGUCUCGUCCGCCCUCGAUGUGAUCGACGCCGACGAGGUUCCGUCAUCGUCUCAUCGACAUAUAUCCUGACAAGCUACGAGGUGAUAUGAACGAUCCCAUCAGGUCGAAGAGCAAGAGGAAUGAUUCCAUCAGGCUGAACGGCAAGCAGCAUCCAUACCUGACGCACACAGCAUCGUGCCUGUCGAGCUGUACUGUUGCUUCAACUCGGAUGCAGCAGUACUACGUACUAUCCUCUUUCUGAUCAGGAUGCUCCCAUCCGAUGGGCGCUGGGGCCGCCCUACUGAACAUCGUUGUUGUAGGACAAAAUCCCAACGCCCCUGGAUCAUUCAUGGCGUGUAGACAUUGCCGACUCACGACUGGAUAUUAGCACGGCGCCCGGAGAAUGCUCGCUUGUGACUUGUGGCUGGACAUGAUAGGCACCUGGACGAUGAUGUUGCCUCACACCUGAGCAGCUUAACUAAACGAACAAAUCACGGAGCACCGAGGCAAAACAUUUGGUUCUUCAGGCCUAUGACUACUAAGUACUAAUAAGGAACACUUACUUCAGAAAUUAAUCGGAUGCUCUAAUGAGAAGGUAAGCUUGAAUGCAUUCUUUGCCCUUUCAGUUCGAGGGCUUCCUCGCAUUUUUCUAGCAACACACUCAUUUUAAGUGAGAAGGUUUAACUGAAUUGAAUUGUCAUGCAAUCCAGUUUCUCGACCGACCAAUCGUGAUUCAUGGGAAUUGACAUUUACUCUGUACUGAAGUACACAAAUUGUAUUUGACACAAUUGAGCUCAUGGUACUAAAAUUUUACGCCCCGUUGUAUACGCCAAGGUACCCUGCAAGGGCACACGAUUUGAUGCACCACAUCUGUUGAGCAAUCCCGGUGUGUUACAGACAGUGUUAUAACUUUGCCUUUGAUGAUUUAUUGCUAUGCUUUCCUUUUUUUAGAUAAAAGGCGCGAGCCCGACUUUAUAGAUGAAGCCACCAGGCAGAGUCACAACCACAGAAUAAACCACUCAGUUUAACAUAGCACGAAUAGAAAGUAUGGGUACAAGGCAUCCAGCCUGUCAAGGCACGCAGGCCAGCCAAACGAUCAACCAAAGACACUAAGAAACCGUCCUCCUGGACUGCCGCAGUAGAGAAGAAGCUGUAGAUUUCAUUUUGGAUAGCAUAUCGUCGAAAGCCUCAACGUCCCCAUCCUUAGUCAAUGAUCUCCACUGCUGCAAAAAAACAUUAGCUUUAAAUAAGCAACUCACAGGGUUAGCCGGGAAAAUGUGUUCAAUAGUGAACUUGUUUCUAGUAGUCCAAAGCGCCCAACAGACCGCUGCCCAGCCCACCAUGAAAACCCGUUUAGACCGGCCUGCUAGAGUAUUGAUACAUCGCCGAAGAUCCUCAAAAUAGGCAGGGUUCCAGGGAACAUGAAGCCAAAGUCUAAUGCAACUCCAGAUGAAUUUUGCUAACGAGCACUGGAAAAAUAUAUGCUUUGUAUUCUCUAGGGCGCCACAUAGUUGACAACUGUCAGAACCCGGCCCGUUCCUCUUUUUAAUCUGGUCAGCCGCAGGGAGUUUGCGACGAAGAGCUUGCCAAAGGAAGAUUUUGAUCUUAGGAGGUAUGCGGGCAGACCAAACUGGUUUAAACUUGUCAGAGUGAACACCAGCGAUUAGACGCGAAUAGGCCGACUUAACAGAAAAACGCCCCGAAGGGGUGUGAGGCCAAAAAACGGAGUCCUCUUCCUCCGAGAGCAGGGGGAAGCAGGCAGUAAGGCGUUGCCAUUCUUCCAACUCCACAGGGGAAAGAGAGCACCGGAAAUCUAAAACCCACCCCUGGGCCGAGAGCUCAGAGAUAGAGAUCUCAGGGUUAUCACAAAACGAAAACAGAGUCGGAUAAGCCACCGCAAGGGUGGUGUCUGCAACCCACUAGUCUAACCAAAAACGCGUAGAAUUGCCGUUACAGACUACGAAUUUCACCAGGGACCGAAAUAUCGGUCUAAUACUAACAAGCUGGCGCCAAAAUUGAGAGCCACCAGAAGAGGAAGCGAACAUAGGACUCGAGAAGGGAAAAUAUUUAGCUUUGAGAAGGUUUAGCCAAGCAGGACGAUCAUUAAAGGGACAUAAUAAUCUUCCACCACCACUUUAACAGGAGACACUUAUUCAUGAUUCUGGUGUUAAUGAUGCCAAGGCCCCCCAUGUUCUUAGGUCUGCAAAUGAGGUCCCAUUUAACCAUCCUAUAUUUGCGCUUGUUAUCGGAGAAAUUCCAGUAAAAGGCACCCCUGUGCUUAUCGAAACCAGCGUGAGUCCCAUCUGACAGAAGAUAGAAGCCCAUUAGAAACAUCGGGAGAGAGGAAAGGCAGGAGUUGGUAAGGGCGACCAUGCCCGCCUGAGAAUUAUAGUGCCCUCGCCACGGCAAAACUCCAUUGCCAACUUUAGUAACAGCCGGUGCAAACUCUUUGGCCAAAAUCUUAAGCGGGGAGAUGGGUAGGCCCAAGUAUUUGAG